GGCUCUAGAAAAGGCUGCAGUGCUGAGGGGCACUCAUUCUUGUUCUGGCUGGGAAGGGAGUAGGAGCACCUGGAGAGAGCAGGGGUGGGCAGGGUCAAGGGAGAUGGAGGGAGGCUCCAGGUGGUGCCCUUGCUACAGGGGCCGAGAAGGUGCAAAGUCUGGGCCUUCCAACGUCGCUGAGCGAAUGCUGCAGAAAGCGCUGCGGUGCACUGCACACACAAGGCAGCACUGAAGCAUCCUGCCAAGGCCUGAACAAAUGCUGAUGCAGCAUUUCCCCUGGACAAAGAUUCCAUAACAAGCUUUUGAUGGGGAAUCACGAUUGAAUCUGAAAUGAGUACAAAAUGGAAGUGGAGGAGAAAACUAUGAUGUCAUGGUCCUCCCCAGUCAAGACAGAAAUAUACCUACUGAAAUCUUUCAAGCAUGAACAUUUCAGCCUCACCUUUUUCUAUUUACAUGUGUAAAUGACACAUCACAUAUCAAUGACAUAUGACCUCUCCUGGAACAAUCCCAAGUCACAUUCCCAUUAAAUCACAAACUAAAUGAUUGCUUCAUCAUGAUGACUAAGAAUAUUAUCACCUCCUCAAGAGGAUUGCCAAGAACCUUGUACCUAAAACAUCACUGCAAUAUAUGAGGCCUGUGAGGCAAACAAACUCCUCAAAUCGUAAUUUUUCAGUGGGACAAAAAAAACGAAACAAUUAAAUUCUGUUAGAGAUUUGGAUACAGAUUCUAAAUAAUGCAAACAUGAGAGCUGUCACAGCGGAUUAGUAUGAAUGGUGCAUCUAGGCCGAUAUUCGGUUGAGUGCGAACAGGGCAGUGGUUCUCAGCUCAGUUACCACUGUGGGGCCCAACAGUUCAC